AGAUAAGCUACUAAGAGUAUAUGGUGGAUGCCUUGGCACUGGAAGGCGAUGAAGGACGCGGUAAGCUACGAUAAGCCCCGGAGAGGUGCAAACAACCUUUGACCCGGGGAUUUCCGAAUGGAGAAAUCCAUCUCGAUUAAUAUCGAGAUAUUCCGUAUAUUUAUGUACGGGAGGCUAACCCGGGGAACUGAAACAUCUUAGUACCCGGAGGAAGAGAAAACAAAGUGAUUCCCUGAGUAGUGGUGAGCGAAACGGGAAAAGCCUAAACUCGCUUGUGCGGUAAAGCCUACGCGCGUUGCACAAGGAGAGUAGUGGGGUCCAAUUGGAGUCAAGCGUAGUUAGACUCGAGAGGUUAAAAAAUUUAUGCUUAGCCAAAUCUUUUUGGAAAGAGGAACCAUAGAAGGUGAUAGUCCUGUAA
rnacentral:rRNA from 2 species